GCACUCGUCCAUCGUCCUUAUCUCAUUAGCUAUAUCAUUUCGAUGAAGAUUAAGAACCCUGCACAGCUAGAUGCUGCUCUGUCGUUUCUUACUAAUACAUUUUUAAGAAGCAUGUGGUGUAGGUUCCCGGUCUGGAGCGGGAGGGGCGGAAGCCGGCGAGGCCAACCUCCCCUUUAGACGCAGGUGCUCUCCCUCUCCCUUCUGUGCCCUCUCUCUCUUCCCUGACCCUCUCGAUGGCCAGAGGUUUGGUUUUGGUUUUGCUCCAAGGAGACGGAGGUUUGGUUUUGGUCCUACUCUACAUUCACUGCUAUUACCUGCACUUUGCCACUCAUGGAUGCUUUUUGUUUAUUUUUUAUGCAUGUGUGCUGUCGGUGACAGGAGAGCAAGUCCCUCAAGUUCGUGAGAAAUCCACUCUCAACUUGUUAACAUAGGGGUGCUCAAAAGGAGAAGCACUCAAUAGGAGAAGCAGGAGUAGCUGAGCAUUCGCCUUCUCUCCCAGUCCCCUACUCACAGAGCUUCUCGUUUUGUUUUUGUAGAUUUGGUUUCUCUGUGUCUACAGGUUGUUUGAUGAAAAUCCAAAAAGGCUGACAUGAGAAAAUUAAU